GACGAACGCUGGCGGCGUGCUUAACACAUGCAAGUCGAACGAAGAGCGAUGGAAGCUUGCUUCUAUCAAUCUUAGUGGCGAACGGGUGAGUAACGCGUAAUCAACCUGCCCUUCAGAGGGGGACAACAGUUGGAAACGACUGCUAAUACCGCAUACGAUCUGACCUCGGCAUCGAGGAUAGAUGAAAGGUGGCCUCUAUUUAUAAGCUAUCACUGAAGGAGGGGAUUGCGUCUGAUUAGCUAGUUGGAGGGGUAACGGCCCACCAAGGCGAUGAUCAGUAGCCGGUCUGAGAGGAUGAACGGCCACAUUGGGACUGAGACACGGCCCAGACUCCUACGGGAGGCAGCAGUGGGGAAUCUUCCGCCAUGGACGAAAGUCUGACGGAGCAACGCCGCGUGAGUGAUGACGGCCUUCGGGUUGUAAAGCUCUGUUAAUCGGGACGAAAGGCCUUCUUGCGAAUAGUUAGAAGGAUUGACGGUACCGGAAUAGAAAGCCACGGCUAACUACGUG
rnacentral:rRNA from 1 species